CUGAGAGAACUCGGUGGCCUUGAGCUCCUCUGGGCAGUGGCCAGGGAUGGGCCCCAUGAAGCCUCUCUGUAAACUCGAAGAUUCUUGUGGGCGCUGCGGAGACCUCGCUCACGGCCCGGGACCUCCGUGUCUGCAUUACUGUUGCCAGCUGUGGGCCACCCUACAGAGGCAGUGAGCCCACAAAUCUGUAUGACACGGGUACUGCCAAGAGGCCAGGCAUGUGACGUAGGCUGGGCCAACUAGACUCUACACCAGCGUUUUGGCCUUUCAACAAUGGAAGAAGAAAUGACUAGUCAGUGAUCCAAGAGAGUAGAAUUCAAGUCACCGUCGGAAACCACACAUAUAACUUUGAACUUUCUAAUAGCUACCAAAACAAGGUGUGGAAUCCAUACCAAAUGGGAAUUGCAGGGUGCGGGCCUUCUGGAAGAGAACAUGUUAGCAAAACUCAACAAAAGCAGUGAAAGCAGAACUAUCUGUUAAGAAAUGUGUGGAGCUGCCAGAAUCCUGCUGAGUGGCCCCUAACAUCUGGAACAGACAGCGGCAAAUGUGGGGAGUAAGAAAGUUAUUCUCCUGCUGUUCCUGGAAGAUAAAGUAAUGCUCAUUAAGGCUUGGAGUGAUGUCCAGGGAUUCAAUUCAACUGCUAGGGUACCGAUCUCCUAGAGAAGUCUUGCCUCGUGUUACUGUAAAGUCACGAGGUCCAGGUGCCGUCUAAAAUAGUCGGG